AGAGUUUGAUCCUGGCUCAGGACGAACGCUGGCGGCGUGCUGAACACAUGCAAGCCGAACGAGGUCCAACCAGUGGCAACACUGGGGAAGGCCUAGUGGCGAACGGGUGAGUAACACGUGAGGAACCUGCCCCGAAGACUGGGAUAACCCCCCGAAAGGGGAGCUAAUACCAGAUACCCUCCUACGGUCGCAUGGCCGUUUGAGGAAAGGUCCGCUGCUUCGGGAGGGCCUCGCGGCCUAUCAGCUUGUUGGUGGGGUAACGGCCCACCAAGGCGACGACGGGUAGCUGGUCUGAGAGGACGAUCAGCCACACUGGGACUGAGACACGGCCCAGACUCCUACGGGAGGCAGCAGUGGGGAAUCUUGCGCAAUGGGCGAAAGCCUGACGCAGCAACGCCGCGUGCGGGAUGACGGCCUUCGGGUUGUAAACCGCUUUCAGUGGGGACGAAACCAGACGGUACCCACAGAAGAAGCCCCGGCCAACUACGUGCCAGCAGCCGCGGUAACACGUAGGGGGCGAGCGUUGUCCGGAAUCAUUGGGCGUAAAGAGCUCGUAGGCGGCUCAGUAAGUCGGGUGUGAAACCUCCAGGCUCAACCUGGAGACGCCACCCGAUACUGCUGUGGCUAGAGUCCAGUAGGGGAGUGUGGAUUUCCCGGUGUAGCGGUGAAAUGCGCAGAUAUCGGGAGGAACACCAGCGGCGAAGGCGGCUCGCUGGGCCGUUCCUGACGCUGAGACGCGAAAGCUAGGGGAGCGAACAGGAUUAGAUACCCUGGUAGUCCUAGCCGUAAACGAUGGACACUAGGUGUGGGGGGAGUCGAAUCCCUCUGUGCCGCAGUUAACGCGUUAAGUGUCCCGCCUGGGGAGUACGGCCGCAAGGCUAAAACUCAAAAGAAUUGACGGGGGCCCGCACAAGCAGCGGAGCAUGUUCUUUAAUUCGAUGCAACGCGAAGAACCUUACCUGGACUUGACAUGGUGCUGCAAGCGCACGGAAACGUGUGACCUUCGAGGGUGCACCACAGAUGCUGCAUGGCUGUCGUCAGCUCGUGUCG
rnacentral:rRNA from 1 species